AUGGCGUCGGCGGAAAGGAUAACGAGGGCCGCGCUGCUGGUCACCGCGGCCGUGUUGAUGCAGUGCUGCAACGCGGCCCUCGCGGCGAGGUUGCUCGAAGGGGACGGCGGGUGGCUGCGGCGGGGCGCCGGGUCGCUGAUCAUGGAGGUCCUGCCCAGGUGCAGGCAACUCGUGCUGGAACGAUCCCAAACACCCCCCGUCGUCGGGGAGCUGCCACGGCUAGCCGCCUCGAACCUGGCUGUAGCGGACAUUGACAUGCUUGUGUAG
rnacentral:rRNA from 1 species